UACAGAGGUCCCAAGCGUUGUUCGGAUUCACUGGGCGUAAAGGGCGUGUAGGUGGUGAGGCAAGUCGGCUGUGAAAGCUCGGAGCUCAACUCCGAAAUGGCAUUGGAAACUACCUUGCUCGAGGGUUGGAGGGGGGACUGGAAUACUUGGUGUAGCAGUGAAAUGCGUAGAUAUCAAGUGGAACACCGGUGGCGAAGGCAGGUCCCUGGACAACUCCUGACACUGAGGCACGAAAGCUAGGGGAGCAAACAGG
rnacentral:rRNA from 1 species